rnacentral:lncRNA from 1 species
GGGGUGUGAAGGGUGUAAGAACAAAGAGAGACUCUUGCUGGUGAAGUCGGUCACUGCGUGGGUGGGCAGGAAGGGCCGAAGCCGCGGCGCCUGUCCCCCCGGCGGUUUUCCUGAGCCGGCGGGCUGUCUACCAAGGCCGGGAGCCUGCAGACCAGCUGAACCCCUGCUGUCGGACAGGGCGACCCGUGGAGACCUGGCCCAGCACCCAGGCUUCUGGAAGGAAUCAGGGGCCAGUGUGCAGAGCCCUCAGGACAAAACGGAAGCAGAUCCUUCGUUCCUGUCAAAGGGCUUGCUCGUUCCUUUGUCCAGCAGCACGGCCCGAGUGGAGGCCCACGCCAGGGAUAGCGGGGAGCACCGUGCUGUUCUGGUUCUCCUUCCUCCGGCGCGUAGACACAGCCUCUGGGAGCCGGGGAACAAGCGAGCAGGGUGAGUGGACC